rnacentral:rRNA from 1 species
GACGGGUGAGAAUCCCGUCCACCGAUUGACUAAGGUUUCCAGAGGAAGGCUCGUCCGCUCUGGGUUAGUCGGGUCCUAAGCUGAGGCCGACAGGCGUAGGCGAUGGAUAACAGGUUGAUAUUCCUGUACCACCUAUAAUCGUUUUAAUCGAUGGGGGGACGCAGUAGGAUAGGCGAAGCGUGCGAUUGGAUUGCACGUCUAAGCAGUAAGGCUGAGUAUUAGGCAAAUCCGGUACUCGUUAAGGCUGAGCUGUGAUGGGGAGAAGACAUUGUGUCUUCGAGUCGUUGAUUUCACACUGCCGAGAAAAGCCUCUAGAUAGAAAAUAGGUGCCCGUACCGCAAACCGACACAGGUAGUCAAGAUGAGAAUUCUAAGGUGAGCGAGCGAACUCUCGUUAAGGAACUCGGCAAAAUGACCCCGUAACUUCGGGAGAAGGGGUGCUCUUUAGGGUUAACGCCCAGAAGAGCCGCAGUGAAUAGGCCCAAGCGACUGUUUAUCAAAAACACAGGUCUCUGCUAAACCGUAAGGUGAUGUAUAGGGGCUGACGCCUGCCCGGUGCUGGAAGGUUAAGAGGAGUGGUUAGCUUCUGCGAAGCUACGAAUCGAAGCCCCAGUAAACGGCGGCCGUAACUAUAACGGUCCUAAGGUAGCGAAAUUCCUUGUCGGGUAAGUUCCGACCCGCACGAAAGGCGUAACGAUUUGGGCACUGUCUCAACGAGAGACUCGGUGAAAUCAUAGUACCUGUGAAGAUGCAGGUUACCCGCGACAGGACGGAAAGACCCCGUGGAGCUUUACUGUAGCCUGAUAUUGAAAUUCGGCACAGCUUGUACAGGAUAGGUAGGAGCCUUUGAAACGUGAGCGCUAGCUUACGUGGAGGCGCUGGUGGGAUACUACCCUAGCUGUGUUGGCUUUCUAACCCGCACCACUUAUCGUGGUGGGAGACAGUGUCAGGCGGGCAGUUUGACUGGGGCGGUCGCC